UCCUCCCUCUGGCGGCGUGCUUAACACAUGCAAGUCGAACGGAAAGGCCCUGCUUGCCGGGUGCUCGAGUGGCGAACGGGUGAGUAACACGUGGGUGAUCUGCCCCUUACUUUGGGAUAAGCCUGGGAAACUGGGUCUAAUACUGGAUAGGACCAUGCUGUAGGUGGUGUGGUGGAAAGAUUAGUUUCGGUAAGGGAUGAGCUCGCGGCCUAUCAGCUUGUUGGUGGGGUAAUGGCCUACCAAGGCGUCGACGGGUAGCCGGCCUGAGAGGGUGGACGGCCACAUUGGGACUGAGAUACGGCCCAGACUCCUACGGGAGGCAGCAGUGGGGAAUAUUGAACAAUGGGCGCAAGCCUGAUGCAGCGACGCCGCGUGGGGGAUGACGGCCUUCGGGUUGUAAACUCCUUUCAGCCAUGACGAAGCCCUUGUGGUGACGGUAGUGGUAGAAGAAGCACCGGCUAACUACGUG
rnacentral:rRNA from 1 species